CUCUGUGACUCCUACGGGAGGCAGCAGUGGGGAAUAUUGCACAAUGGGCGCAAGCCUGAUGCAGCCAUGCCGCGUGUAUGAAGAAGGCCUUCGGGUUGUAAAGUACUUUCAGCAGUGAGGAAGGCGGAGUCGUUAAUAGCGGCCUCGUUUGACGUUUAGCUGCAGAAGAAGCACCGGCUAACUCCGUGCCAGCAGCCGCGGUAAUACGGAGGGUGCGAGCGUUAAUCGGAAUUACUGGGCGUAAAGCGCAUGCAGGUGGUUUGUUAAGUCAGAUGUGAAAGCCCGGGGCUCAACCUCGGAAUUGCAUUUGAAACUGGCAGACUAGAGUACUGUAGAGGGGGUAGAAUUUCAGGUGUAGCGGUGAAAUGCGUAGAGAUCUGAAGGAAUACCGGUGGCGAAGGCGGCCCCCCUGGACAGAUACUGACACUCAGAUGCGAAAGCGUGGGGAGCAAACAGGAUUAGAUACCCUGGUAG
rnacentral:rRNA from 1 species